GUGUGUGCGAGUGUGAGUCUGUAAAUCAUUCCCAGCCUGAUUUAAAAAAAUUAAUUGUUUUAAUGAAAUGAUACCAAAACAUAGGGUUAGAGUUAUACUUCAGUCUUCACAAUCUGUUAAUCCUACCAAAACAUCGCGACACUUCAGGCUUUAGAUUCUGAUGAACCUACCAAAACAUCGCGAUACUUUAGUCAUAACGUCCUGUGCUUUGGCUGGCGCCAGGAGGCUCAGCUAGCUCUCACAAAUAAAACCCCAAGAAGAGGAGUUCCCCUUCACACUUUUGCACAAGACUGACAUUAACUUCUCCAAUCC